UCCCAUGUGGUCUAGUGGUUAGGAUUUUCCUGGCUUUCACCCAGGCGGCCCGGGUUCGAUUCCCGGCAUGGGAA